GUGGCAGCCGCCGCGGUAAUACGUAGGGUCCAAGCGUUAAUCGGAAUUACUGGGCGUAAAGCGUGCGCAGGCGGUUGUGCAAGACCGAUGUGAAAUCCCCGGGCUUAACCUGGGAAUUGCAUUGGUGACUGCACGGCUAGAGUGUGUCAGAGGGGGGUAGGAACUCCACGUGUAGCAGUGAAAUAGCGUAGAGAUGUGGAGGAAUACCGAUGGCGAAGGCAGCCCCCUCGGGAGUAACACUGGCGCUCAUGCACGAAAGCGUGGGGAGCAAACAGGAUUAGAUACCCUGGUAGUCCACGCCCUAAACGAUGUCAACUAGUUGUUGGGGAUUCAUUUCCUUAGUAACGUAGCUAACGCGUGAAGUUGACCGCCUGGGGAGUACGGUCGCAAGAUUAAAACUUAAUGAAUUGACGG
rnacentral:rRNA from 1 species